rnacentral:rRNA from 1 species
AUGUUGCGUGAGAAGUGUGGUCUCAAAGAUAGCACGUUUGUGACAGUAGAAGAAAAUGUUGCUAUGUUCUUACAAUUUGUUGGACAUGGACUUAAAAUGAGGAUGUUGGGUGGCACGUACCAGCGUUCUUUAGAGACUAUCAGUUGGCAUUUCUCUACUGUGUUAUCAGCCAUCCUCUCUCUAACUGGGGAGUUUAUAAAGCUUCCUGAUCCUUCUAUCACCCCUCCCGAUGAUUACAAGUGGAAGUGA